UUUUCAGUGUCGCAGCAAAAGCGUUAAGCACACCGCCUGGGGAGUACGACCGCAAGGUUAAAACUCAAAUGAAUUGACGGGGACCCGCACAAGUAGUGGAGCACGUGGUUUAAUUCGAAGAUACGCGCAGAACCUUACCAACACUUGACAUGUUCGUCGCGACUCUAAGAGAUUAGAGUUUUCGGUUCGGCCGGACGAAACACAGGUGCUGCAUGGCUGUCGUCAGCUCGUGUCGUGAGAUGUUGGGUUAAGUCCCGCAACGAGCGCAACCCUUACUUUUAGUUGCCACCAUUUAGUUGAGCACUCUAAAAGAACUGCCAGUGAUAAGCUGGAGGAAGGCGGGGAUGACGUCAAGUCCUCAUGGCCCUUACGUGUUGGGCUACACACGUGCUACAAUGGCACUUACAAUGAGAUGCAAAGAUGCGAGUCUAAGCCAAUCUCAAAAAGGUGCCUCAGUUCGGAUUGCACUCUGCAACUCGAGUGCAUGAAGCUGGAAUUACUAGUAAUCGUGGAUCAGCGCGCCACGGUGAAUACGUUCCCGGGUCUUGUACACACCGCCCGUCACACCAUGGAAGUUGGUUACACCUAAAGGCAAAACGUAAAACUUUUGACUACGGUACGAUCAGCGACUGGGGUGAAGUCGUAACAAGGUAGCCGUAGGGGAACCUGCGGCUGGAUCACCUCCUU
rnacentral:rRNA from 1 species